AAGGUUCUGUGGUUCAUAAAUAUGAUUACUGGAUUUUCAUGCUAAUGUAUAAGCUGGGUCUCCCCCCAAGUGUGUUAGGAUGUUGGCACAUUACCUGUCUGAUG